UACAGAGGGGGCAAGCGUUGUUCGGAAUUACUGGGCGUAAAGGGCGCGUAGGCGGCCGCCUAAGUCAGACGUGAAAUCCCUCGGCUCAACCGGGGAACUGCGUCUGAUACUGGGUGGCUUGAAUUCGGGAGAGGGAUGCGGAAUUCCAGGUGUAGCGGUGAAAUGCGUAGAUAUCUGGAGGAACACCGGUGGCGAAGGCGGCAUCCUGGACCGAGAUUGACGCUGAGGAGCGAAAGCGUGGGGAGCGAACAGG
rnacentral:rRNA from 1 species